CUUUUCUAGCUGCUUUCUCCUGCUUUCAGUGCAUUUAAGUAAAAUCUCCUGAUCUAUAAAUUUACCCUAGAGAAGUUUAUGAUUUAUCUUUCUCUCUUCCAACUUCUUCUUCAGAUGCUCCACCUCUGAUCCGAUCUCUUGGACUCCCGAGAGCAGCUUUGGGGAGGCCUGAACUUCUUUGGAAGUAGAGCAUCCGUCUCCUUGAGGAGCUCUCUCUCCAUGGCUCAUCCCUUCGGAGAUUCUGGUCCUCUUGGACAGAUCACCGCUGGGGCUUAUUC
rnacentral:lncRNA from 1 species